CCUACGGGGGGCAGCAGUGGGGAAUAUUGCACAAUGGGGGAAACCCUGAUGCAGCGACGCCGCGUGAGUGAAGAAGUAUUUCGGUAUGUAAAGCUCUAUCAGCAGGGAAGAAAAUGACGGUACCUGACUAAGAAGCCCCGGCUAACUACGUGCCAGCAGCCGCGGUAAUACGUAGGGGGCAAGCGUUAUCCGGAUUUACUGGGUGUAAAGGGGGCGUAGACGGCAAGACAAGUCAGAAGUGAAAGCCCAGGGAUCAACCCUGGGACUGCUUUUGAAACUGCCGGGCUGGAGUGCAGGAGAGGUAAGCGGAAUUCCUAGUGUAGCGGUGAAAUGCGUAGAUAUUAGGAGGAACACCAGUGGCGAAGGCGGCUUACUGGACUGUAACUGACGUUGAGGCUCGAAAGCGUGGGGAGCAAACAGGAUUAGAUACCCGAGUAGUC
rnacentral:rRNA from 1 species